rnacentral:rRNA from 1 species
GUCCUUGCCGUAAACGAUGUGGAUUAGGUGUUGGGGGUGUCGAUCCCCCCAGCGCCGCAGCUAACGCAUUAAAUCCACCACCUGGGGAGUACGGUCGCAAGACUGAAACUCAAAGAAAUUUACGGGGACCCGCACAAGCGGUGGAGCAUGUGGUUUAAUUCGAGGCUACGCGAAGAACCUUACCCAGGCUUGACAUGUAGUUGACAGCCCAUGAAAGUGGGUCUUCUCGCAAAGAGACAAUUACACAGGUGCUGCAUGGCUGUCGU